CUUGCACUCAUAAAGUCUGAAGAGGGCUAAUGAUCAUAGAGGACAGACACCCUGCUGACUGAGUCAUCAUCUUAAUUUACUAGGCCUUGAUCAGCACAAAAUGGAUACAAACAACUGCGCUCUUUGCAAAUAGGCUUCCAGUGUGAAGUCACUUUCAGCUACAUUGGUUUCAUUGCCAUCUGUCUUCAUCCACUGGUGCUUCAGGAAUUAAUACAAAGAUGGAGAUUUUUCCCCCCUGAAGAUAAGUCAUUGAAUGCAGGCGGAGAAGCAGCUCUUCAAUUCUAUGAUCUCACACCAUCAUAGGAUGGGAAAUAAGCAAAGGCUGACCACCUUCUCCCAGACCAGCUGACCAGCUCUGAGAGAAGAAAGUGGGAGCUGGGAUGACAUUGUGGCUAGAAGGCAGAACUACGCAUGAAGUAGGAAACGCAUAGUUCUCAAUCCUGUGUUUCCCUCAUAAUGCCAAUAUCUGAGAUCUGUGUGAGAACUUCUUUCAACUACCCUAAUCUUCUGCUAUCUUCUAGAAGAUCUGAAGUUGCACUUUAUUUGUAAUUACUUCAGCCCCAUGGGAUAGGCAAAAAAGAAUGACAAAAUUCAGAAAAGGAGGAAGAGAGCAAUUGAGUAUAGGAGAGCAAUCAUUGACAAGGAUUAACAUAGAUCUCUUGCAACAGGAAAGGGGAGAUCAGCCUCUGGCCUCUUCCACAGACAUUAUCUGAUGGGAUAAAACUACAGAAACUAAAGACCAGGCUGCCAUAAAGGUAACUCCUUUCAAGAUGAGACUUGGAACUACCGAAUGUGGACAGAGAUACACCUCUUUAUUCUGAAAAUUUUUAUGAUAGGCCUGUGGAAACAAUGAUCUGCCCUACAUCUGAUGAGCCUAGGAGCAUUGAAGUCCCAGUCUCCACAAGCUUUGAAGAGGAUGCUCUGAGUUAAAAUAACAGACCGAAUCUCAGAAGAUAAAAUCAAGAUUCAGUCUGAUCUGAACAUAGGCUUGAAUAUUGGACCAAAACAAACAAGAUGAAGUUCAACGGAGAGAGAUGGAAAAUCAAAUGCACAAACAUAAGAAGUCACAUGGCUUGUCAGCAGUACCUGUGAAAAGAAACGAGGUAUCUUAGCAGAUGACAAGUUGACCAUGAUUAGCAGCGUGAUGCAGCUGCUAAAAAGCAAAUGCACCCUUAAGCUGCACUGCAUCAACAGAAGUAUAGCAUCUAGAGCAUGAGAAGUCAUUGUUCCACUUUAUUCUGGUUAAUUUCACUUACUGUUGUGGGCCCUGCAGAAUAGUAUUGGUCAACCUCACUUGGAUUACUAUUCUGGGCCUCACAUUUUAAGAAGGAUGUUGAUAAAUUGGAAUGGUUUGGUUUCAGGGCAGGGCAACAAAGACAGUGAGGAGUCUGGAAACCAAGUCCUAUGAGGAACACUGAAAGCAGCUCUGUAUGUUUAGCUUUGAGGAAAGAAGACUUAGGGGAAAUAUGACCUUCAAUAUGUGACGGGCUGUCACAUAAAGGAAGCCGUGGACUUGCUCCCUUGUGCUCCUGUGGGCAGGACUAGAACCAGUAGUUGAAACUACAUGGAAGCAGAUUUCGGCUGCUGCUACUACGAAUUUACUAUGGAUUUUUAUAUACCGCUCUCCAACCAAAGUUCUCAAAGCGGUUUACAUAGGCUAGACAAUAGGAAGAAUUUCCAAACUACACGCGCUGUUUGUUUGACAGCAGAAGAGUCUGCCAUGUGUAAUUGUAGGCUCUCCUUCACUAGAGGUUUUCCAACAGAGGCUGUAUCACCAUCUGUCAAAGAUGCUGUAGGAGGACCCGUAGAGACUACAAGGUCCCUUCCAGCUCUAGAUCGCUGUGAUCCUUUGAUUAUGAUUACCAGCCCUCCUUGCAUCUGGCACUCUGUGCUGGCUCACAUCAGGGAGGGAAGAAAGGAAAAGAAACAUGCUCCAUUCUCUUGCCAUGGGGAAGCCCAUGAGUCAGGGGAAAGAACUUUGGAAAAGACGGAGGAAGUUUCUUGAAGCCAACUGUGUCUGUGUUGGAUGUCCUUGGCAAUUUUCAACUUCAUAUAUGUUCCGUUUGAUAGCACUCUGGUCACUGUUCAUGUUGUCAGCACAAGAUGUGUUGACAACACAUCUCAUACCAGGCUCUGGGUGCCAUUUAGUAUUAAGGCCAGGUCAUUUCCCAUCUGGAGGUCUUUCACACAAUCAAAAACCGUUCUACCCAGUUUUGGGGGCUGUGUGCUCUCCCAAUUUUUGAUUGUCUGGAAACAAGGUAGGAAGAAAACAGGGUAGCUUUUCCUCCUACCUUGUUUCCACACAAUCACUUCUGCCCAGGUUUUCCUCUUAACUUGCUUCCACACAACCAAAAAUUGGAAGCACACACAGCUCCCAAACCUGGGUAGACCACAGUUUUUGAUUGUGUGAAUGACCUCAUAGUUAGUUUCAUGACCAACUGUUCUAAGGCAGUCAUUUAGGAUAUCAAGAAAUCUGGUCUCUUUGUCAUAACCUGAACAUGAAUUUAUCCAGUAUAUGUGAGGGUAAUUGAAGUCACAACACCUUUCCCUUGGGUGCUGCCCUGACUUUUAUUUCCAACAUAAAAUCACCCUCAGCACUUUGUUGAGGAGCACAAUGGCCCCUCAUAAUAAAAUACUUUUUGUCUGUUUCUACCACCCACAAGGAUUCGGUAGAGAAGUCCAGUCCUCCUAAAUAUCCUGCUCUGUUGGGUUUCAUGACAUACACAACUACACCAUCCCCAGAGUGUCCCUCCCUGUCCUUUCUAUAGGGUUUGCAUUCAGGAAUAGCAGUAUUCCACUGGUUCUCUCAAUUCCACCAGUUUUCUGUUAUGGCCACUAUAUCUAUGUUCUCAUCUGCAAUGAAGCACUCCAUGCCCCACAUAAUGGUUCAGAGGCUUCUAGUAUUUGCAUAUAAACACCUCUGUAUUAUGUCCUUUUCCAAAUGCUGUGUGUGAGUGCGUCUUCUCCCCUUAGACUUUUGGUCUCUUUGACCAGCUGUCACAUCCUCAUAUCUCAUUUCAAAAGUGUACCUUCUCAGUCACUAUACAAUUAACAUCUCUCUGUGAGUCAAACUAAAACAGAGGUGCAGCAAAACAUGACUCAGGCACUCCACUCAGUCAUGUGUAUGUAGAAAUGCAGUGAAAUGUAGUUACCUGUUCUAGAAUACGAAUUUGGCCAACUAGUAACGACUGAGUGUAUUAUGAACAUCGUCUUCAUAAGUUCUUCUCUGGCUCAGAAUGUAUCUGGAAUUCGCUACAUGCACAGUCAUUGUUUAGGUGCCCAAAACUAGUCACUUUGUAGCUGCAUGUACCAAAGGUCAUUAAUGAUAAACCCUCACUUUCAGUGAAACUCUCAUUGGUUGCUUGAAACUACCUACAAAGCUAGCUGAUAUGUAAACUAUUUGGGCAAAUAAUGUUUAACUGCUUACACUUUAGGAAACUCACAUUGAUUGCUGCAAACUAUGUGACCUGACCACCCAAUCAAGCAGCCUUUUGUUUGGAUAAUAUCUUCUCUGUUUAGAUUAAUCCAUUAUUUGAAUGGAUUAAUGGUUUUUUGGGGCAUUGUUGUUCCCUACCCAGAUAUAAAAUGUAACUUUGUUCCUGGGUGUAUUUGUUGUAGAGACAGUUUUUUUAUUUCCAGACACCUCUCCAACAUGGCCAGUGCUAUGAGUUCUGUUCAGGGCAGGUGCAAGAAAAUUACAAUCCCUGGGGGCAGUACAAGAUUGCACAUACAUGCAGCAUUAUUAACACACAUGCACCAACAUUGCAAGCUGAGAAAGAACUCUUGCAAAACAGACAAAUGUAUUCCAAACAUUCACAAGCCCCUUCAGACAUUAUAAGCACCAUGGGUACUCAUGCUUACAACUGCAAAGUGGGGAGGAAGUCCUGCCCCACUGCUGUCACUCAUCUCCUCCUGCUGGGUGUACAAGCUUG